AAAAAAGAACAGUGUUUGAGGGUAGAAAUUAUAGGUAAAAAACCCAUAAAAAUGGAAAAACUACCUUUGGCUGCUGCAGUUAGGCUCUUGCAUCAAAAAUGUGGUAACAAUUAGGAACAACUGUCCUCUGCCACUUUACAGUUCUUCUUUUCAAGAGGACAUCUCAAACUACUGUCUAACAAAUUUCAGUCUAAUGCUAGUCUCAUUUAAAAUGUCAUUGAAUUAUACUGAGCUUUAAAAAGCCUCCAGGAUUCAGUUUUUGUCUUGGAUUUGGAUACUAACAAACCCUAUUUCUAUUUUUUCCCCUGUAGCCUGGAAAGAACAAAGCUUCCAGUUUCCUUGAUAGGCUUGCAUAUCAAGCAACUCAGUUAUUUACAUGAAGACAUUUCUCCAAAAGGAAAUUGUAUAAGCUCUGGGACUACUUUUCCACCCUGUGUACAACAAAUCUUCCAAUUAUUCAGUAACUUCAAGGUGUUAUUCCUAUAGGAAUUCCAAGUGCCCAUGGUCUAAUAAAGUGUAGCAAAUAAAUCUGAUUUAUCCAGUGACACAGUUUUUUAAAAUAUUUUCCUUUUUGUUUUAUAUGGCAAGAUGAAAGAAAACUAUGCUAGUAGGUGCCCUGUAAACAGAAUUGUUCAUGAACAUAGUUUAAAUGCCUCAAAUCUGAGCACACAUUCAACUCAUCAGUCAAGUGUCAAAACAGCUUAAUUGCUUUUUUCACAGCUUUGAUCAUACUUGUGUUUUAUUGGGCUGUUCACAUUUUCUGUUAUAAUCACUUGUUAUCUUUCCAUACAGUUCUAACAAGUACUGUCUUCAUCAAGAUUUUUGUUGUUCAACUUCCCUAUUUCAUUUUUAAUCUGCUAAAUGAGCAUUUCCUUUCUUUAGAAAAACAAAUAAAUCAAAAGGGUCAAUUUGCUUUUGUGUCUUGAAACAAAGCCCUUUUUGUUUGAUUUCUGCUUGGUCAUUUAUUAUCCUCAGCAUGUUUGAUAUUUGUGAUAACGAAUUUUACAAGGAAUAAAUUACAUGUGCAUCCUGAUGAAUAAAGCCCCUGUUACUGUGCAGUUAAUAAUGCUGGUUGCAAACUUUGUUAAUGUCUUACAAAUAUUUUUGGUAAUAACACAUCAGGCUUUAUUUAUAUUUCCUAGGAGAAAGCUGUCUUUUAGCAAACUCAGCAAUUUAUAAAGAGGCAUGACUGGUGUUAUCCAAGGAGAUUUUUAAUCUUAAACCCUCCUGUUCUCAAUUAAAAGGAAAAUGGAGCUGUAAUACCCAUGAUACUCGCACCAUGUGAUGGUUGUGACCUGCUGCCUAUCCCAGCUGAAAGUGACAAGGAUCAACAAUUAGGCACAGUUUUCUCUUAUUCCAAUUCCUUCAGCACUGGUGUUAAAUAGAUGAGUUUACUGGGGAGCUAAGAUGAGCCACUCUGGUCCAUAAUCAUCUGAAUUACGGUUUGUCAAAGUACUCAACUGUGCACUAAAUCCUAUGGACUUCAUUAGAAUGCCUCAGACCAGUCUUGUUGGAGCAGUUUGUUAAAUCCAUGGCAAUUGCACUAAUAAGCUGAGUUACACUCAGAUCUCUCCCACAGGUGCCUGGAUAUGUUUGCAGCAGAUUCAGCCUUGUGCAGCAGGCCAAGGAUGGCACAAUUUGUGCUGACUGUUGUGAGUCAAGCCAGAUAUGUAAAAGUUGAUGGCUGCAGCAGCCCCAGAAUAUUGAUGCUUCUGAUUUUUGUGGAAAUCUAGUUUAUGAGUUCAACGUGAUGCAAGCCUGUGAGGAUGAAUGGAAGCAGUGCUGGAGAAGUCCAGGUAGUCAGGCUGGAGCUGUGACCCCCGGUCACGUAGAGUUUCACAACCUGCUGGAGCCCCUUGGUAUUCCAUGGGUUUUCUUCAGAGGGAUGAAAAUCCACCUGCUUGGCUCAGCUUGCCAAAGCUGAACAGCAAAGUGUACACAUAGCUGGAGGAACUUUGAGGAAAGUUAAGAAAUUGUAUAAACAGGCUGCAUUCUGUUCUGCUUGAUCAUUUUGGGGAUUAGGAACUGAUCCUUUCCAAAAAUCGUAGAUGAAGAUUCUGUUACUCCUCCAGAAACUGACAGCAACUCAGGAAAAAAAGAGGCAGAAAUCCAAAGAAUUUUCUGGGCCAUUUCGCAGUGUUGGGUGACAUCAGGUCAAGUCCAGUACAAAUGCAGAAUUUGCCCUGAUUGCUGCUUCAGAAAUUUGCAGCAUUCAGCUUGCUUAGUUUCCUUGGAAAUGCUGGCAGAUAUGUAAGGGACUCUCUGGAGCAGAGAUAGAAAACCCAAGACUGAGAAUGACCUCUUAACAUGGUGUUGAAGGCUCAGAGAGGGAGCUCUGUAUUCUACUUGGUGGUCAGAGGGCAGAUGCUUUUAUUUUAAAUGAGUAUAGGAGAAAAUAAUUUUGGGAUGGAGUUAAAAAAGGUAAAACCUGUUUCUCUCUUAGCUUAGUCCACAGCACUUUUUUUUUCUUUGAAAGAGAUAAUUGCUGCCCAGAUUCCAAACCAGUGUGUGUGAUUUUCCUGCUGUCUAAAUCCUGGGUAUAUGCACCUCUCCAGUUAGUGUUUCUAACAGCAGCCAGGAAAACAAGUUCCUGCUCUCUUGUCCCAUUCCAAGUAGUCCUGAAUUGUGUAUAAACUUAGUUGCUCACCCACAGUCAGAGACUCUUGUGUAGCAAUUUGUCAGAAAAGGUCCAAAUGUGUGGCAAAUAGACCAGAACUGCAAUUCACAAUUCCUGGCUGCCAGCUCCCAAUUGCAAUGGGAGGUGCUGAUGUUUGCUUUCACACGUUUGCUUUUAACCAACAAAAACCACGUGUCCGUGAUGAGAAGCUAAUCCUGUAUCACAUGGAGAACCAGAUCUUAUUGCUAUUAUCCAUUUUAGCUUUCUAUCUGUUGUUUGGAUCAGAUUUUUUUUUUGUUUUAAUUUGAAGGGAAAAAAAUGGAAAAUUAUUAUAAGCUACAUUCACCUAUGUAAUUGUCCUUGCCUAAAUUACUGCUUUUCAAUAGCAAGCUUUCUUAAAGUAUGGCAAUGCAGUUUUGGCAUGACACAACGCAUAAUUCUCAUGUUUCUCCUUGUAAAUUUCCACUAUGGUCAUCAUUUCCAGCUGAUCCUCCAAAAAUUUUGCUCUUGGCUUCUAUUUUAUAAGUACAAUGAAGGCUGUGCCAAUAACUUGUGCUUAUCUAGCUUGGUUACAACAGUUACAGUCUGGUUUUCCAGCCUUAGGAAACAACUGAAACAAUAUUGAUUUGCUUCAAGCCUGCCAGUUUAACUGGCACCAUAAUCAAGAUUCCAGUAGCUUUCUAAGUUUGGGGGUUUCUUCCCAGUGUAUCUGCCAUGUAUGCAACUUCAUUAAAAAUAAGGAAAAGCUA